rnacentral:lncRNA from 1 species
GAGUGGAGUUGCAUACAAUCCUAGAAUUGGAUGACAUAAAUCUACUGGAUUAGAGUCGAAUCUAAUAGGGGAUCCAUAGAUCGAGUUAAUGCGACAAUAGGGGUUUUAAUUAGCAAAAAAAAUUCAAUUAAUCAACUCAGAGUCAGUUUCUCUUAGCCUUGAAAAAAGAUAUUAGCAUAAUUUAGGGAUUUCUAUUAGUCAAGAUACUAAGUGAAGAAAUUGCGUGAUUCAGAUUUAUAAUAACAGAUGAAGUCUAGGCGGAUUCUUUCCUAGGUAUUG